rnacentral:rRNA from 1 species
UACGUAGGGUGCAAGCGUUAAUCGGAAUUACUGGGCGUAAAGCGUGCGCAGGCGGUGAUGUAAGACAGAUGUGAAAUCCCCGGGCUCAACCUGGGAACUGCAUUUGUGACUGCAUCGCUGGAGUGCGGCAGAGGGGGGAUGGAAUUCCGCGUGUAGCAGUGAAAUGCGUAGAUAUGCGGAGGAACACCGAUGGCGAAGGCAACCUCCGUGGUCUGCACUGACGCUCAGCGCAGAAAGCGUGGGGAGCAAACAGGAUUAGA